rnacentral:rRNA from 1 species
GGGGAAUAUUGGACAAUGGGCGCAAGCCUGAUCCAGCCAUGCCGCGUGAGUGAUGAAGGCCCUAGGGUUGUAAAGCUCUUUCACCGGUGAAGAUAAUGACGGUAGCCGGAGAAGAAGCCCCGGCUAACUUCGUGCCAGCAGCCGCGGUAAUACGAAGGGGGCUGGCGUUGUUCGGAAUUACUGGGCGUAAAGCGCACGUAGGCGGAUCAGUCAGUUAGGGGUGAAAUCCCGGGGCUCAACCCCGGAACUGCCUUUAAUACUGCUGAUCUGGAGUCCGAGAGAGGUGAGUGGAAUUCCGAGUGUAGAGGUGAAAUUCGUAGAUAUUCGGAGGAACACCAGUGGCGAAGGCGGCUCACUGGCUCGGUACUGACGCUGAGGUGCGAAAGCGUGGGGAGCAAAC